rnacentral:rRNA from 1 species
AUUAAGUUGAGUUUGAUGAUGGCUCUGAAUGAACGCUAUUCAAAUGCCUGACACAUGCUAAUCGUACGUUUGUAGUUUAACAAUUGUUAACUACAAAAGUGGUGUACAGGUGAGUAAAUGGUGAAUUGGUUACCUUAAAGUGAGGGAUAAAAUACCUUAUAACAAAAGGAGUAAUCUGCUUUAAGAUAUUAGUUGUAUCUCGGGUAGGUAGUAGGAGAGGUAAUUGCUCAACUAGCCUAAUAUCCCGUAGUCGAGGCUGAAAGGUCGAUCGACCACAUUGGAUAUGAACAAAAUUCAAUGCAUGAUAGUACAGCAGUGAGGGAUAUUGGUCAAUAGCCGAAAGGCUGAACCAGCAAUUUGAAAGAAUGGCCUUCCGGUCUUAGCCGGUUUGAGGGGGAUAGAUUAUAUGUAAGAAAUUAUGUAUAAAGGGGUCCAAGCCUUAGGUCAAAAGCCUAGGAUUAAAGUUCUGAAUAGAAUAAUGAUAAUGACAAUUUUCUAAUUCAAGUGUCUUGACAAAUUCAUGUGCCAGCAGUCGCGGUAAUACAUGAUAGACUAGUGUUAUUCAUCUUUAAUGGGUUUAAAGGGUACCUAGACGGAAGUUCAAGCCUGCGAGGGGACUGAAUUUCUAGAGUUUUAUGUGAGAAGGGGAGUACUACUGAUGGAGAGAUGAAAUUUGAUGAUAUCUUUAGGACUGGUAAAGGCGAAGGCAACCUUUUAAGUAAAAACUGACGUUGAGGGACGAAGGCUUAGGUCACGAACAGGAUUAGAUACCCUAGUAGUCUUUGCAGAAAACGCUGAAUGCUAUAGGUUAGAAUUAAAAUUUUUGCCUAUAAAUGAAAAUGUAAGCAUUCCACCUCAAGAGUAAUUCGGCAACGUAGAAACUGAAAUCAUUAGACCGUUUCUUGAAACCAGUAGUGAAGUAUGUUAUUUAAUUCGAUGAUCCACGAAAAAUCUUACCAUAACUUGAAUAGCUGGUAAAAUAUAAAAAUUAUAAUUAUUUUAUAAACGAGUUAUUAAACCUGUCCUAAAAAAGGAAUACAGGAUAAUAAAUAACAGAUAAAAUUUAUCAUAUGAAUUUAUUUCAAAUAAGUAAAUAAGUCAUAUAUACCUUUGCUACAGGUGUUGCACGGCUGUCUUAAGUUAAUGUCGUGAGAUCAUGGUUAGAUCCAACAAUUAGCGUAAGCCCUUAGUUUAUUUAAAAAAAUAUAAAUUAUUAAUAUAUUUAUUAUAAAAAUAUUUAUUAUAAAAAUAUAUUAAGCAAAUAUUUUAAAUAUUUAAAUGUUUAAUGUUUUUAAUAAAUUUAAUAUUAGGAAUAAGAAGAGUAAUAUUUUAAAUAUUUAGGAACAUUAGGGAGGAAUGUUUUUAAUAUUUAGGAAUAUUUAGGAAAAGGUAAUAUUUUGAUGUACAAUAUUAAAUUUAAGAAAUAUUUUUAAUGUUUAGUAUUAAAUUAUUUGUAUUUAUAAAUAAAUAAAUUAGUUCACUAAGAAAAUGGCGUGUGAUAACCGGGAAUAAGACAAGUCAUCAUGGCCCUUCUAUCGUAAAAAAGUUAAUGUUAUGGGCUAUAGACGUGCCACAUAUGCCUUGACAAAGGGAUGCAAAAAUGUGAGUUUUAGCUAAUCCUACAAAAAAAGGAAAUAAAAAAUGGAUUGUAGUCUGAAAUUCGACUACAUGAAAAAGAAAUUACUAGUAAUCGUGUAUCACAAUGGCACGGUGAAUCUUAUCUCAGAUUGGUACUAACCACUCGUCAGGCGCUGAAAAUUGUGAGUGCAAUAAGUUUGGGGGAUUCAAAUAAAAAGUAUAAGCAACUGGGCUUAUGGCAUUUGAGAAUCUUUCUUCGUAUGCACAGCUUUGAUUAGUGUUAAGUCGAAAUAUGGUUCGUGUAGCGGAAGUUGCACGGGAAUGAUUAAUUAU